rnacentral:rRNA from 1 species
AGAGUUUGAUCAUGGCUCAGGACGAACGCUGGCGGCGUGCUUAACACAUGCAAGUCGAGCGGAAAGGCCCUUCGGGGUACUCGAGCGGCGAACGGGUGAGUAACACGUGAGUAACCUGCCUCUAGCUUUGGGAUAACCCUCGGAAACGGGGGCUAAUACCGGGUAUGAUCACUUGCCGCAUGGUGGGUGGUGGAAAGAUUUUUUGGCUAGGGAUGGGCUCGCGGCCUAUCAGCUUGUUGGUGGGGUGAUGGCCUACCAAGGCGACGACGGGUAGCCGGCCUGAGAGGGCGACCGGCCACACUGGGACUGAGACACGGCCCAGACUCCUACGGGAGGCAGCAGUGGGGAAUAUUGCACAAUGGGCGGAAGCCUGACGCAGCGACGCCGCGUGGGGGACGAAGGCCUUCGGGUUGUAAACCCCUUUCGGCAGGGACGAAGCGAUCGUGACGGUACCUGCAGAAGAAGUCCCGGCUAACUACGUGCCAGCAGCCGCGGUAAGACGUAGGGGACGAGCGUUGUCCGGAUUCAUUGGGCGUAAAGCGCGCGUAGGCGGUUUGGUAAGUCGGGUGUGAAAAUCCGGGGCUCAACCCCGGACCUGCACCCGAUACUGCCCGACUAGAGGUAGGUAGGGGAGAUCGGAAUUCCUGGUGUAGCGGUGAAAUGCGCAGAUAUCAGGAGGAACACCGGUGGCGAAGGCGGAUCUCUGGGCCUUACCUGACGCUGAGGUGCGAAAGCUAGGGGAGCGAACAGGAUUAGAUACCCUAGUAGUCC